GCCUGAAAUCCCCUUUGACUGAUGGAGACCGGCUUUUCGCCCAAAAAUGCCGGGAGCUGCAGGGUUUUAUCAGGCCCCUGGCGGAGCUGCUCAACGGGCUCAAGAUGGGGCGCUACGAGAAAGGACUGAGUAGUUUUCAGCAGAGUGUGGCCAUGGACAGGAUCCAGAGGAUCAUUGGGGUCUUGCAGAAGCCCGAAAUGGGGUAAGUCUCACCCAAAAUGGGCUAAAUCUCCCUGCGAUCCCUUGCAAAUCCUCGGGGCGGGUGGCGCAAACAGGCUUUUCCAGCCAUCCCAUGUCCUGAUCUGUGGGUUUGGCACCAGGGCUUUGCCCCGUGUGCAGGGAAACCCUCGUGUCUCAG